UACGUAGGGAGCAAGCGUUGUCCGGAAUUAUUGGGCGUAAAGGGCUCGUAGGCGGAUCCGCCAGUCUGACGUGAAAUCUCCACCGCUCACCGGGGAGGGGCCGUUGGAUACUACGGAUCUGGAGUUCGGCAGAGGACCAUGGAAUUUCGGGUGUAGCGGUGGAAUGCGUAGAUAUCCGAAAGAACACCGGUGGCGAAGGCGGUGGUCUGGGCCUGAACUGACGCUGAGGAGCGAAAGCCAGGGGAGCAAACGGG
rnacentral:rRNA from 1 species